AUUACUUUGGCAGAUUAGUGCAUUAAAUUUAGAAUUUAAAAUUAGAUAUAUAUUUAAAUAUAUAAGUAAUA
rnacentral:tRNA from 1 species